UACGUAGGGGGCGAGCGUUGUCCGGAAUUAUUGGGCGUAAAGAGCGUGUAGGCGGUUCGGUAAGUCUGCCGUGAAAUCCUGGGGCUCAACCCCGGGCGUGCGGUGGAUACUGCCGGGCUAGAGGGUGGUAGAGGCGAGUGGAAUUCCCGGUGUAGCGGUGAAAUGCGCAGAUAUCGGGAGGAACACCAGUAGCGAAGGCAGCUCGCUGGGCCAUUCCUGACGCUGAGACGCGAAAGCUAGGGGAGCGAACAGG
rnacentral:rRNA from 1 species